ACGCGUGGGUAACCUGGCCCAUACAGGGGGAUAACACUUAGAAAUAGGUGCUAAUACCGCAUAACAACAGAAAGCGCAUGCUUUUUGUUUGAAAACCAAGGUGGUAUGGGAUGGACCCGCGUCUGAUUAGCUGGUUGGCGGGGUAAAGGCCCACCAAGGCGACGAUCAGUAGCCGGCCUGAGAGGGUGGACGGCCACAUUGGGACUGAGACACGGCCCAAACUCCUACGGGAGGCAGCAGUGGGGAAUAUUGCACAAUGGGGGAAACCCUGAUGCAGCGACGCCGCGUGAGUGAAGAAGUAAUUCGUUAUGUAAAGCUCUAUCAGCAGGGAAGAAAAUGACGGUACCUGAGUAAGAAGCCCCGGCUAACUACGUGCCAGCAGCCGCGGUAAUACGUAGGGGGCAAGCGUUAUCCGGAUUUACUGGGUGUAAAGGGAGCGUAGACGGCAGUGCAAGUCUGGAGUGAAAGGCGGGGGCUCAACCCCCGGACUGCUCUGGAAACUGUACGGCUGGAGUGCAGGAGAGGUAAGUGGAAUUCCUAGUGUAGCGGUGAAAUGCGUAGAUAUUAGGAGGAACACCAGUGGCGAAGGCGGCUUACUGGACUGUAACUGACGUUGAGGCUCGAAAGCGUGGGGAGCAAACAGGAUUAGAUACCCUGGUAGUCCACGCCGUAAACGAUGAUCACUAGGUGU
rnacentral:rRNA from 1 species